AAAAGAUUUUAAAAAAAAAGAAGCUGCUAACUAUCUUUUAAAGCAUUUUAAAUGUUUAAUCUUUUAAAUAUUUAU
rnacentral:tRNA from 1 species